GCUACUUGGCCCCCGAGUGGAUCAUCGGGUCGGGCGUCUCCGACAAGUCCGACAUAUACAGCUACGGGAUGGUGCUGCUGGAGAUGGUCGGAGGGCGGCGUAGCGUGCAGCUGGUGGACGGAGACGUCGCCUCGCGCAGGAAGUGGUCCUACUUCCCCCAGAUCGUGAGCGAGAAGGUGAGGCAGGGGAGGAUGAUGGAGGUGGUCGACGAAAGGCUGAAGAGCGUCGAAGGGCCACCGGACGAGGAGGAGGUGCGCACCUUGGUGCAUGUGGCGCUGUGGUGCAUCCAGGAGAAGGCGGAGACCCGGCCGAGCAUGGCACGCGUGGUGGACAUGCUCGAGGGUAGGAUCGCCGUCGACGACGACCCACCGAAGCCGGACAUGAUCAUCUCGAGCCUCUUAUCCCCCG
rnacentral:lncRNA from 1 species